UACGUAGGGUGCAAGCGUUGUCCGGAAUUAUUGGGCGUAAAGAGCUCGUAGGCGGUCUGUCACGUCUGCUGUGAAAACCCGGGGCUCAACCCCGGGCCUGCAGUCGAUACGGGCAGACUAGAGUGCGGUAGGGGAGACUGGAAUUCCUGGUGUAGCGGUGAAAUGCGUAGAUAUCUGGAGGAAUACCGGUGGCGAAGGCGGCAUCCUGGACCGGCAUUGACGCUGAGGAGCGAAAGCUAGGGGAGCAAACGGG
rnacentral:rRNA from 1 species